rnacentral:rRNA from 1 species
AUACGUAGGUGGCAAGCGUUGUCCGGAAUUACUGGGUGUAAAGGGAGCGCAGGCGGGGGAGCAAGUCAGCUGUGAAAUGCAUGGGCUUAACCGAUGAACUGCAGUUGAAACUGUUCUUCUUGAGUGAAGUAGAGGUUGGCGGAAUUCCGAGUGUAGCGGUGAAAUGCGUAGAUAUUCGGAGGAACACCGGUGGCGAAGGCGGCUUGCUGGGCUUUUACUGACGCUGAGGCUCGAAAGCGUGGGUAGCAAACAGGAUUAGAUACCCUGGUAGUCCACGCUGUAAACGAUGAUUACUAGGUGUGGGGGGACUGACCCCUUCCGUGCCGCAGUUAACACAAUAAGUAAUCCACCUGGGGAGUACGGCCGCAAGGUUGAAACUCAAAUGAAUUGACGGGG